AACGCGAAGAACCUUACCAGGACUUGACAUGGGAGUGCCGCGCGCAGAGAUGCGCGUUUCCGCGAGGACACUCCGCACAGGUGCUGCAUGGCUGUCGUCAGCUCGUGUCGUGAGAUGUUGGGUUAAGUCCCGCAACGAGCGCAACCCUCGCCUUCAGUUGCCAUCAGGUUUGGCUGGGCACUCUAUGGGGACUGCACGGGUCAACCGUGAGGAAGGUGGGGAUGAUGUCAAGUCAUCAUGGCCCUUAUGUCCAGGGCUACAAGCGUGCUACAAUGGACUACACAAAGGGUUGCAAACUCGUGAGAGCCAGCUAAUCCCAAAAAGUAGUCCUCAGUUCGGAUCGGAGUCUGCAACUCGACUCCGUGAAGUUGGAAUCGCUAGUAAUCGCGGAUCAGAACGCCGCGGUGAAUACGUUCCCGGGCCUUGUACACACCGACUGUAC
rnacentral:rRNA from 1 species